rnacentral:rRNA from 1 species
UACCAGACUCCUACGGGAGGCAGCAGUGGGGAAUAUUGCACAAUGGGGGGAACCCUGAUGCAGCGACGCCGCGUGAGUGAAGAAGUAUUUCGGUAUGUAAAGCUCUAUCAGCAGGGAAGAAAAUGACGGUACCUGACUAAGAAGCCCCGGCUAACUACGUGCCAGCAGCCGCGGUAAUACGUAGGGGGCAAGCGUUAUCCGGAUUUACUGGGUGUAAAGGGGGCGCAGACGGCGAUGCAAGCCAGGAGUGAAAGCCCGGGGCCCAACCCCGGGACUGCAUUUGAAACUGUCAGGCUGGAGUGCAGGAGAGGUAAGUGGAAUUCCUAGUGUAGCGGUGAAAUGCGUAGAUAUUAGGAGGAACACCAGUGGCGAAGGCGGCUUACUGGACUGUAACUGACGUUGAGGCUCGAAAGCGUGGGGAGCAAACAGGAUUAGAUACCCCGGUAC